GAUGAACGCUAGCGGCAGGCCUAAUACAUGCAAGUCGGACGGGAUUCAGGAGCUUGCUUCUGAUGAGAGUGGCGCACGGGUGCGUAACACGUAUGUAACCUACCUUUAUCAGGGGGAUAGCCUCUCGAAAGAGAGAUUAAGCCCGCAUAAAAUCACAGCACAGCAUUGUGUAAUGAUCAAAUAUUUAUAGGAUAAAGAUGGGCAUGCGGAACAUUAGCUAGAUGGCGGGGUAACGGCCCACCAUGGCGACGAUGUUUAGGGGAUCUGAGAGGAUGGCCCCCCACACUGGUACUGAGACACGGACCAGACUCCUACGGGAGGCAGCAGUAAGGAAUAUUGGUCAACGGGCGGAAGCCUGAACCAGCCAUGCCGCGUGCAGGAAGACGGCCCUACGGGUUGUAAACUGCUUUUAUACGGGAAUAAACCCAGAUACGUGUAUCUGGCUGAAUGUACUGUAAGAAUAAGGAUCGGCUAACUCCGUG
rnacentral:rRNA from 1 species